rnacentral:SRP_RNA from 1 species
ACCAGGUGGUGCACGCCUGUAGUCCCAGCUACUCGGGAGGCUGAGGUGGGAGGACUGCUUGAGCCCAGGAGUUCUGGGCUGUAGUGCGCUAUGCCAAUCGGAUGUCUGCACGAAGUUCAGCAUCAAUAGGGUGACCUCCCGGGAGCAGGGGACCACCAGGUUGCCUAAGAAGGGGUGAACUGCCCAGGUCUGAAAUGGAGCAGGUCAAAACUCCCGUGCUGAUCAGUAGUGGUAUUGCACCUGUGAAUAGCCAUUGCACUUCAGCCUGGGCAACAUAGCAAGACCCUGUCUCU